rnacentral:rRNA from 1 species
GUGCAGCAGUCGCGAAUUUUCUCAAUGGGGGAAACCCUGAAGGAGCGACGCCGCGUGGAGGAUGAAGGCUUUCGGGUUGUAAACUCCUGUCAUUUGGGAACAAGUUGGACGCAGUUACUACGCGUCCAUUGAUAGUACCAGAAGAGGAAGAGACGGCUAACUCUGUGCCAGCAGCCGCGGUAAUACAGAGGUCUCAAGCGUUGUUCGGAUUCAUUGGGCGUAAAGGGUGCGUAGGUGGCGUCGUAAGUCAGAUGUGAAAUCUCGGGGCUUAACUCCGAAACUGCAUUUGAUACUGCGGUGCUUGAGGACUGGAGAGGAGACUGGAAUUUACGGUGUAGCAGUGAAAUGCGUAGAGAUCGUAAGGAAGACCAGUGGCGAAGGCGGGUCUCUGGACAGUUCCUGACACUGAGGCACGAAGGCCUGGGGAGCAAACGGGAUUAGAUACCCGCGUAGU